UGACUUACUAGCUGGUGCACUUUCAACUGAAUUUUAACUCGAAAUCUCGUUCUUUGAUCUUGUGCGAAAAUUUUGGUCUUUUGCUUUUUUAUUCCUGUUUUUUAAGCCCACAUUAUACUCGAAUUGCGUGGUAUAAUCCGUACUAAUAAAUUUAAUUGCGAUCCUGUUCAAACGAAAUUGACUAUAUGAACAUGAAGUAGAUGCCCUUGAUCAUCUACCAAGCAUCGUCUAUCCUUUGCUCUAUCUCGUGGACGAGCGUAUUUGCGGCACUAGUUGCUGUGCAAAGCCACUUCAGUUUGAACAACUAAACAGGAUGUAUAAAAAACGGAGUCUAUCUUCCGUGCUUAAUAGUUUCCAGAAUACAAGUCC